AGCAGCAUGGCCCAAUGGAGAGAGCAUGAGACUGGGAGUCUGAAGAACCUGGGUUCUAAUCCUGGUUCUGCCA
rnacentral:tRNA from 1 species